rnacentral:rRNA from 1 species
UACGUAGGGUGCGAGCGUUAAUCGGAAUUACUGGGCGUAAAGUGUGCGCAGGCGGCCGAGCAAGUCGAGUGUGAAAGCCCCGAGCUUAACUUGGGAACUGCGCUCGAAACUACUUGGCUAGAGUGUGGCAGAGGGGAGGUGGAAUUCCACGUGUAGCGGUGAAAUGCGUAGAGAUGUGGAGGAACACCGAUGGCGAAGGCAGCCCCCUGGGAUAACACUGACGCCUCAUGCACGAAAGCGUGGGGAGCAAACAGG